rnacentral:lncRNA from 1 species
UAUUUGGAUUUUUGUAGGGAUUUAAUUUUGUUUUCAAUGAGAGAUUGUUGGUGAACAUCAUCAUCAAAGGGUUGAUGAAAAAUGGUUUGCAACGUCGUCAUCAAAGGGUUGAUGGAAAAGGGUGUCAUCACCAAAGGGUUGAUGGAAAAGGGUGUCAUCAUCAAAGGGUUGAUGGAAAGAAAUUUCACUAUGGAGUGACAUCGUCAAAGGGUUG